AAUCGGAUGUAACUUUUUCUGUAGAUGUCUAUGGACAUAUUAUUUGCUUGAUUCCGAGUCCGUAUGAGAAAGUUACGCCUGUUUUAAGAAAU
rnacentral:rRNA from 1 species